rnacentral:rRNA from 1 species
GACAGAGGUGCCGAGCGUUAGGCGGAAUCACUGGGCUUAAAGCGUGUGUAGGCGGACUUCUAAGUACCUUGUGAAAUCCCACGGCUCAACCGUGGAACUGCUUGGUAUACUGGUUGUCUUGAGCCACUUAGGGGCAGUCGGAACAGACGGUGGAGCGGUGAAAUGCGUAGAUAUCGUCUGGAACGCCAAAGGUGAAAACAGACUGCUGGGGAGUGUGCUGACGCUGAGACACGAAAGCCAGGGGAGCAAACGGG